CCUACGGGGGGCAGCAGUGGGGAAUUUUGGACAAUGGGCGAAAGCCUGAUCCAGCCAUUCCGCGUGAGUGAAGAAGGCCUUCGGGUUGUAAAGCUCUUUCGCAAGGGAAGAAAACUUAGUCUCUAAUAUAGGCUGAGGUUGACGGUACCUUGAUAAGAAGCACCGGCUAACUACGUGCCAGCAGCCGCGGUAAUACGUAGGGUGCGAGCGUUAAUCGGAAUUACUGGGCGUAAAGCGUGCGCAGGCGGUUUUGUAAGUCAGAUGUGAAAUCCCCGAGCUCAACUUGGGAACUGCGUUUGAAACUACAAGACUAGAAUAUGUCAGAGGGGGGUAGAAUUCCACGUGUAGCAGUGAAAUGCGUAGAGAUGUGGAGGAAUACCAAUGGCGAAGGCAGCCCCCUGGGAUAAUAUUGACGCUCAUGCACGAAAGCGUGGGGAGCAAACAGGGUUAGAUACCCUGGUAGUCCACGCCCUAAACGAUGUCUACUAGUUGUUGGUGGAGUAAAAUCCAUGAGUAACGCAGCUAACGCGUGAAGUAGACCGCCUGGGGAGUACGGUCGCNAGAUUAAACUCAAUUGAAUUGACNGGGGCCCNCCCAAGCGGUGGAUUAUGUGGAUUAUUCGAUGCNACNCGAAAANCUUNCCUGGCCUUGAAUGUNCNAAUUUACCAAAAUGGUUANUGCUCNAANAAAACGGUAAC
rnacentral:rRNA from 1 species